rnacentral:lncRNA from 1 species
AAAGCCUUUGCUACAUCACUGUCACAAACAUCUGACUUGUUUGAUGCAAAUUCUGGAGAAGGAUCUGGAGAAGUGGAUGGUCUUGACUUAGUGUACACUUCUAGAACUACUCAGGCAAGCAGUCAAGGAGACAGCAUGUUUGCCUCUCAUGGAUUCAUUGAAAAGCAUCCAGAGGUGUCAAGGACCGAGACUGGAGCUACUGAUGGAUCUCCAACAGCUUCAGCGAUGUUCCUGCAUCAGUCAGAGUACAAUGAGAGUUCCCUGUAUCCAACCAGCACACUGCCAAGCACAGUGACAUAUGAGAGUCCCUCAG